CGCGAUGCAGCGGGUAACGCACUGGAAUCUUGACUUCACCGAGCACAGCGAGCAGGGUGACCGGUGAGUUGCGGGGAGUUCGUCUCAUCCCGACCGAUCAGAAAUUGAGCAGCGUUCGCGCGUAUCAAUAUUUUAUUAUAUUAUUUUCCUCUUCGGUGGAAAUGCUAUUUAACGAUGGUUAUACAGGAUCGAGGAAGUUAAAUAAGAUCUUCUAAUUAUUUUUUUAAUGAUAUCGACCUGGCCUAUAAUCUAUAUGACUGGGUGACACUACAUCAUAAAUCCAUCGAAGUUAAUCGUAGUGCAUAUGAUUAGAUUUGAAUAAAUUUAAACUCUUAGUCUCGUAGCUUAAACGGCAUUAUACCUCCAUUUUAGGUGAGGUUCUAAGUUGUUAUAUAACUAUCAGCUUUAAUUCUUUUUGAUCAUUUGUUCGUAGUUUUCUUUAUUUUUGUUGGAAAGAGAUACUAUUUUUAUACUUUUUUGGGUGAAAUUGCUAGAAAUUUUACAAAAAAAAAGAAAAAAAUUCAAUUUCAUAACUAAUGUUUAUUUUGUUAUUUAGUAAUCAGAAUUUUCAGAGAUUCCUCGUUAUUCCUUUUAUUUCGUGAGAAAAGAUGAACUUUUGAACUCUCAAAUAAACUAUUAAUAAUCUUAUAUUCUUAAUUUUGAAUCAAGUUGUCUCUGUAGAAGUUACAUCGAUCCAUUUAUUUGAUCAUGAAAUUGGUUUCCAAUAAUAAAUGUACAUAUUGUUUGUGGACGCAUAUUAAGUCCGGUAUCGACAAAUACCAAAUUGGCUACCAUAGUUCGGAGUUAGGAAUUUGUGACAUUUAGAAAUGUAAAAUAUAUUCCCAUCAUCACAUGAAUUUCACUUUUCUAUUUGCUCUGUUACUUCUUUGCUACAUGACAUUACUAUAAUUUUCUUCUAAUGUUUCUUGCUUUGUUCUUUCUGUUUUAUCUUCGAUUUUCGGAUUCCAGAACCCUAAAUCGUUUCCAUUUAUCAAUACUUAUGUUGUUGCGGGAACGUAAGAAAUAUUUGCCUUCAACAUCCAAAAG
rnacentral:lncRNA from 1 species